rnacentral:rRNA from 1 species
ACGAACGCUGGCGGCGUGCUUAACACAUGCAAGUCGAACGGAAAGGCCCCUUUGGGGGUACUCGAGUGGCGAACGGGUGAGUAACACGUGAGUAACCUGCCCUUGACUUCGGGAUAACUUCAGGAAACUGGGGCUAAUACCGGAUAGGAAUCCUUGCUGCAUGGUGGGGGUUGGAGAGCUUCGGCGGUUUUGGAUGGACUCGCGGCUUAUCAGCUUGUUGGUGGGGUAGUGGCUUACCAAGGCUUUGACGGGUAGCCGGCCUGAGAGGGCGACCGGCCACAUUGGGACUGAGAUACGGCCCAGACUCCUACGGGAGGCAGCAGUGGGGAAUAUUGCACAAUGGGCGGAAGCCUGAUGCAGCAACGCCGCGUGCGGGAUGACGGCCUUCGGGUUGUAAACCGCUUUCAGCAGGGGCGAAGCUUGUGGUGACGGUACCUGCAGAAGAAGCACCGGCUAACUACGUG